GAACUAAUUGUUUCAGGAACAUGAAGCAAGGAAAGAUUCCAGUUUCUAUGAUUGAUGUUGUGAGUUUAAAUCUGGGUGAAGACAAAGUACAUCCAGAGUCUAGAAUCACCAUUAAGCAGCUUUUCAGUUUCCUGUUAUAUGCACAGCAUCACAAGCAAUAUCUAUAUCUGUUAUUGCAAAGAAAGUAGAGGAGAGAGACCCAAAUCCCUGAUGUGGAAAAGCCUGUUUCUUGGAGAAAUUUUUCAAGAACAGUUCAUCCAUGUGAAAAAUAUGACUGCUCUCUUGCUGCCAAGUUAAACUUACAACUAAGUAAAUUACUUGCUACAGAAGCUGGAUGUGAUUUUUUGGAAGAACCAAAUCAUCAGACUGCCAUUUUUAUUCUGAAAUUACAUUUGAUAACCCAAUUACAAGGAAGGAAGCUGCUGAUGCUUCCAGUGCUGAGGAGGAGUGAUGAAUGGAUUUUAAAAAAAAUGUAAUACAAAAACAAGGGCCGGGCAAAUUCUGGCCUAUAUUCAAAGUAUCAUUACCAGUUUUACUUCAGGAAAUGAAGCCCGACUGCUCAUUGGAGGGAAGGAUAGUAGAGGCGAAGAUGAAGUACUUUGGCCACAUCAUGAGAAGAAAUGAAAGCUUAGAGAAGACAAUGAUGCUGGGGAAAAUGGAAGGAAAAAGGAAGAGGGGCUGACCAAGGGCAAGAUAAAUGGAUGGGAUCCUUGAAGUGACUGGAUUGACCUUGAAGGAUCUGGGGAUGGUGAUGGCCGACAGGGAGCUCUGGAGUGGGGUCAUGAAGAGUCGGAAAUGACUGAAUGAAUGAACAACAAUUGCCAGCUUGGGAACCUGUAUUUGCCCCUUAUGUCUGUAUCCAAUGUACUUGAUAUCCUUUAGCAACAGUGUGAAUGGGGCUUAACAAACUGUUUGAACUAAUUCAAUGUUCC